rnacentral:rRNA from 1 species
CACGUAGGGUGCGAGCGUUGUCCGGAAUUAUUGGGCGUAAAGAGCUCGUAGGCGGUGUGUCGCGUCGGCCGUGAAAACCUGCAGCUUAACUGUGGGCUUGCGGUCGAUACGGGCAUCACUGGAGUUCGGCAGGGGAGACUGGAAUUCCUGGUGUAGCGGUGAAAUGCGUAGAUAUCAGGAGGAACACCGAUGGCGAAGGCAGGUCUCUGGGCUGACACUGACGCUCAUGCACGAAAGCGUGGGGAGCAAACAGG